rnacentral:rRNA from 1 species
CUGAUUAGCUAGUUGGUGGGGUAAAGGCCUACCAAGGCAUCGAUCAGUAGCUGGUCUGAGAGGACGACCAGCCACACUGGAACUGAGACACGGUCCAGACUCCUACGGGAGGCAGCAGUGGGGAAUUUUGGACAAUGGGCGCAAGCCUGAUCCAGCAAUGCCGCGUGAGUGAAGAAGGCCUUCGGGUUGUAAAGCUCUUUUGUCAGGGAAGAAACGGCAUGCUCUAAUACAGUGUGCUAAUGACGGUACCUGAAGAAUAAGCACCGGCUAACUACGUGCCAGCAGCCGCGGUAAUACGUAGGGUGCAAGCGUUAAUCGGAAUUACUGGGCGUAAAGCGUGCGCAGGCGGUUUUGUAAGUUUGUCGUGAAAUCCCCGGGCUCAACCUGGGAAUGGCGAU